GUUAAUAUAGUUUAUAUAAAAUAUUUAUUUGUGAUUUAAAAGAAUUGAGAUUAACU
rnacentral:tRNA from 1 species